rnacentral:misc_RNA from 1 species
UUUCUUUUGUUAUGGUUUAUCAUUACAUUCUUUAACUUGUAGAGUUAUAAAAAGUAAUUGGGAGCUAUAGAAAUAGAACAAAAAAAUUCUAUUCAAAGCUUGAUUCCCAAAUAUCUAAGUGCACAGUGUUAGAAAGUGAGAGGUCGGACUCUCCUCCAAAGAGAAGACGUCCUAUUAUUCACUAAUGAUCCUUCCGCAGGUUCACCUACGGAAA